rnacentral:rRNA from 1 species
CUCAAAUGAAUUGACGGGGGCCCGCACAAGCGGUGGAGCAUGUGGUUUUAAUUCGAUGAUACGCGAGGAACCUUACCUGGGCUCAAAUGUAUGUUGACGUAUUCUGAAAGGGAUACUUCUUCGGACAAUAUACAAGGUGCUGCAUGGUUGUCGUCAGCUCGUGCCGUGAGGUGUCGGGUUAAGUCCCAUAACGAGCGCAACCCCUAUCAUUAGUUGCCAUCAGGUCAAGCUGGGGACUCUAAUGAAACUGCCUACGCAAGUAGUGAGGAAGGUGGGGAUGACGUCAAAUCAGCACGGCCCUUACGUCCAGGGCUACACACGUGCUACAAUGGCAUAUACAAAGGGUCGCGAUACCGCGAGGUGGAGCCAAUCCCAUAAAGUAUGCCACAGUUCGGAUUGGAGUCUGCAACUCGACUCCAUGAAGUUGGAAUCGCUAGUAAUCGCAGAUCAGCAUGCUGCGGUGAAUACGUUCCCGGGCCUU